GGCAGGAUGGCCGAGUGGUCUAAGGCGCUGCGUUCAGGUCGCAGUCUCCCCUGGAGACGCGGGUUCGAAUCCCGUUCCUGUCA
rnacentral:tRNA from 1 species